rnacentral:lncRNA from 1 species
UGGGUGUGCACCUUGUCCUGCCCCUUGCCGCUCUGGUCGACGAGCGUGAGCUCGAAGAGCGCGCGCACAUCUGUGCCCUCGCUGGCGAGGGCUAUGAAGAGCGAGACGUAGGCGGCGCCGUCCUCCCCGCUCUUCCCGUCGGGAUAGAAGUAGAUCGCCCAGUCGAAUCCCCCCACGGAGAAGGACUCGGAGGCGAUGUACUUCCCCACGCCGAUACCCUUGGAGAGGGAGUAGCCGUCGAUCUUGAAGUGGUGCGACCCGUUCACCGUCUUGGUCACCGACGUGGACGCCGUCUCGGAGGGGGCCGAGGAAGGGGAGGCGGAGGAGGAGGACGCG